GCCAGGCAGAGCGGGCGAUCGAAAAUCUGCUGGCCGGCUGAGAGCUGCUAAACUUGGGGGAGAGGAGCAAGGAGCAGCGCUCCAGCUUUCGGACAAAUAAACACCCGUGGUCGGACUGGACUUUGCUCGCAACUACGCCGUUUGCUCGAGGGAGGAGGGAGGAGUAAACUGCUUUUAUUAAAUUAGCUUUUUGCUUUAGUUUUUAGGAUUAAAACGUUAUUUCUCUUGCUUCUUCUCAGCAGCUAGAUUCCGUGCACAUCCGGUUCCAGUGUUGUUAGCAUCGUUUGGCACUACUUCAUAUUUAUAUAAAAACCGGACAAAACUGGACAUUGCUGGGAGAAAAGAAAGCGAGGAGGUUGAACUACCUGGUGUGAAGGACUCAGUGUGACUGUUACAUAAAUACUGCAGUGACACUCGAGUGUAACUCUGCACGAUGGCUGGACAGCGGAAGGAUGAGGAGGGAGCGAGUGUUCAUGGACCACGAAGAUUUCCUGGACCAGGUCCAGGUGGACUGUGAUUUACAAAGGGAAAGUUACCUGCAGCUCUCCUGACCUCUAGUGGCUGAAAACAUGGUUAUCUGCAAGAUAAAAGCAUCUGAAGAAGAGUGCGGCUGAGCUGAUGGAGAAGUGACACGCUCAGAUACUUUCAGCAUUAGAGUGAUCAGAUGGCAAGAUGGCAUGAUCCUUCCUGUGAACAUCUAGCGGGACAGGAGCCCACAGACCCAGCCUUUCAGCAGAGCGUUCUCCUGCUGUCUGACCAGCAAUGGACGGCUCUCCAGAUCCAGAAUCAGAAGGAGCUUAUUAAGUACUGUUUUACACAUACGAGGAAUUUGCUUUGGUGAUGAGGUGCUACACGCAGACAGACAUACAGUUGACAUUAAUAAAUGUAGAAAUAUAUAAAUAUGGAAUAGACGAUGUAAGAUGUAAUGUAAAAUGUAAGAGUAAUAAAAAGAAUAGAGAAAAAUAAUACAACUAUUUGCAGAGAAAGAACAACAUCGCAGAUAUUUACAUGUUCAUUAUUCCGGGGUUGUGCAGAUGUAUUAGAGAGUAUUGUGUCCAUAAAUAUAUAAAUUGACAAUAUAAAAAUAUGCAACAACAGAGAUUAACAAUUAACAACAAAAAUGUGCAAUGUGCCAGGUUUGUGCGUGAUAUGACAUGAAACCGUAUUUACAUGUGCAGAGACAUUUGUAUUAUUUGCAAGGGGGAAGUGUCAGUGGGGGACCCGGGCCUUGUUGAUGAGGCUAGCUGCAGACGGGAAGAAGCUGUUUUUGUGGCGAGUGGUUUUCUCUCACUCAUUCCUCAGUCACAUUGCACUCCAUGCGGACAUCAUCACGUUCAAAGGCAGACUACAAGUCCUUCCUACCAGAUUCAACCUCUCAAUCUGGUCUCCCAUAACUCAGGUCCCUCAGUGUCUGCAUCUCACUACAGAACAGCUCACUGAAACACCGUCACACAUGCUGACCGGCUGCUCACAGAGAGAUGCACACAUAUUGAACCACUUCCCACCCUCAGUGAGAUGUACAAACAUUCUUGUGUAUGUUACGACUUUCUUACACCUGCUUGCUAACACACCAGGUGUUGUGAUUAGAGCCCGACUGAUUUAUCGUUUUGCAGAUAUAUCAGCCGAUAUAAGCUACUUGCAGAUAGUCAUAUAUCGGCAUUUAUAACAGCCAAUAUAUGACAGUUAAUUUCUCCCUAGCUCAGUACUUCUAAAUAUUAUUCAGCAUAACUUAAUGUUAACAGUUAAUGCUGCCUGUUGCUAAAUUUGCCAUGAAGCCAAUGCCAUGUUUAUCUGUGGAGGAGCGCUAAUGUUGUUAAACUAUAUUGUUGAACAUAUUCUAGAUAUAUCUGCUAGUUGGUUGUCUGUAGUUACAGUCAAUGUGUCAGAAAUGAUUAAACCAGAAAAAAAAAAAUCUAACAUAGCUUCCUGCCUAACAAAGUUAUCUAGCUUUUCUUUUGAAUGUGAAAUGUUAGUGUGAAAUCUGGAUAUAAUCAACAGAGUGCUGUUAAAGGGAUAAACUAGAUGUGAAUAUGCUACAUUGUAGAAAGUUGUAAUUGUGGCAGAUUAUAUGCAAAGUAAUACGCAUUGCAUGACAAAAUAUAUAUAUACCAAAUUUUUUGCCUAUGUAGGAGAGCCCUGUAUUAUUAUUAUUAUAGCAAUGAUAUGAUAUAUGGUAUUAGUCAGCUGGGAUUGGCUCCAGCCCUCCAUGACCCUGUACGCAGGAUAAGCGGUUGACGAUGGAUGGAUGGA